AAUCAAUUUUGAACCCUAAAACCCAAUAACUUCAUAAAACAUGAGUGACAUAAAAUGGGGGUGUCUUAUACAUGUAGAAUAACCGAAAAUGGUAUUGGAAUACAUAGCAUAUGCUACAUAAAAAAUAGUGGUUUUAAAAUAAUGUUGUUUUAAAGUGUAAAAAUUGGAAAUAAUAUAAAAAAGUAAUAAGGAAUCAUUUUUUGAAUAUUAUGACGUGAUAUUUCGGUCGGAACGUUGUCAAAUCUAUCAUAAAGCCCUUCGGGCUUUAUUGGAUUUGACCACGCCCCGACCAAAAUUAUCACCUCAUUAUACUCAAAGAAUGAUUCCUUAUUCCUUAAAUAAUAAUAAAACAUAAUCUACUUGUUAUAGUACACAUAACAAAAUGGUAUUUAAGACAUUUCUGAAUCAACCAUAUUAUGGACAUUUCUGAAUUAUGGUUGCACUAAAUUGCCCUGUUCAAUCACACCAAAUCUUAACGUCUCUGCCCUAUUGCACACAGGACAAUUUUUUCAUGAUAUUUUCAUCAUUUUAUUACUACAUGUAUUUGCAGGUAAGAGAAAAAAUAUAAUAAACUGAUUCUACAAACCACAAUAUUGAACAAGUUUUUUUUUAAAUAACAGAGCCAUCCUAACCUGAUAUUUUGUACAUUAAGGAAAAUAUGCCUGAGUCUUUUCAUAUAGUUGCCAGGUUUUCAUUGUAAAUUAUUUUGUUCUUAUUUUGUAUUUUAUGUGCAUUUUUUUCUAUACAACUGUGUGCUUUGUUAACUAGACGAAGAUCUAUGUAGGUCAAGCUUGAAAUCUAGCUCAUGUACUUGUCAACUGUCGCCAUUUACUAACCCAGGCUUGUGCACCUUACAGUUUUAUAAACAGUUGUGUCACUCGACAGUUGCAAGCUUUAUUCUGCAUUUUUCACGAUCAUUUUUUAACCUGAUCAAAUAAACCAUUUUAU
rnacentral:sRNA from 1 species